UACGUAGGGUCCGAGCGUUGUCCGGAAUCAUUGGGCGUAAAGCGCGCGUAGGCGGCCCUGUAAGUCCGUUGUGAAAGUCAAAGGCUCAACCUUUGAAAGCCGAUGGAUACUGCAGGGCUAGAGUCCGGAAGAGGCGAGUGGAAUUCCUGGUGUAGCGGUGGAAUGCGCAGAUAUCAGGAGGAACACCAAUAGCGAAGGCAAUCCCCUGGGCCUGCACUGACGCUCAUGCACGAAAGCGUGGGGAGCAAACAGG
rnacentral:rRNA from 1 species